GAUGAAGAACGCAGCGAAAUGCGAUAAGUAAUGUGAAUUGCAGAAUUCAGUGAAUCAUCGAAUCUUUGAACGCACAUUGCGCCCUCUGGUAUUCCGGGGGGCAUGCCUGUCCGAGCGUCAUUACAACCCUCAAGCUCAGCUUGGUAUUGGGCCCCGCCGACCCGGCGGGCCCUAAAGUCAGUGGCGGUGCCGUCCGGCUCCGAGCGUAGUAAUUCUUCUCGCUCUGGAGGUCCGGUCGUGUGCUCGCCAGCAACCCCCAAUUUUUUUCAGGUUGACCUCGGAUCAGGUAGGGAUACCCGCUGAACUUAAGCAUAUCAAUAAGCGGAGGA
rnacentral:misc_RNA from 1 species